UACGAACGCUGGCGGCGUGCUUAACACAUGCAAGUCGAACGGAAAGGCCCUGCUUUUGUGGGGUGCUCGAGUGGCGAACGGGUGAGUAACACGUGAGUAACCUGCCCUUGACUUUGGGAUAACUUCAGGAAACUGGGGCUAAUACCGGAUAGGAGCUCCUGCUGCAUGGUGGGGGUUGGAAAGUUUCGGCGGUUGGGGAUGGACUCGCGGCUUAUCAGCUUGUUGGUGGGGUAGUGGCUUACCAAGGCUUUGACGGGUAGCCGGCCUGAGAGGGUGACCGGCCACAUUGGGACUGAGAUACGGCCCAGACUCCUACGGGAGGCAGCAGUGGGGAAUAUUGCACAAUGGGCGGAAGCCUGAUGCAGCAACGCCGCGUGCGGGAUGACGGCCUUCGGGUUGUAAACCACUUUCGCCUGUGACGAAGCGUGAGUGACGGUAAUGGGUAAAGAAGCACCGGCUAACUACGUG
rnacentral:rRNA from 1 species